rnacentral:rRNA from 1 species
GAUGAACGCUGGCGGCGUGCCUAAUACAUGCAAGUCGAGCGAACGGACGAGAAGCUUGCUUUUCUGAUGUUAGCGGCGGACGGGUGAGUAACACGUGGAUAACCUACCCAUAAGACUGGGAUAACUUCGGGAAACCGGAGCUAAUACCGGAUAAUAUUUUGAACCGCAUGGUUCAAAAGUGAAAGACGGUCUUGCUGUCACUUAUAGAUGGAUCCGCGCUGCAUUAGCUAGUUGGUAAGGUAACGGCUUACCAAGGCAACGAUGCAUAGCCGACCUGAGAGGGUGAUCGGCCACACUGGAACUGAGACACGGCCCAGACUCCUACGGGAGGCAGCAGUAUGGAAUCUUCCGCAAUGGGCGAAAGCCUGACGGAGCAACGCCGCGUGAGUGAUGAAGGUCUUCGGAUCGUAAAACUCUGUUAUUAGGGAAGAACAUAUGUGUAAGUAACUGUGCACAUCUUGACGGUACCUAAUCAGAAAGCCACGGCUAACUACGUG